rnacentral:rRNA from 1 species
UACGUAGGGGGCAAGCGUUGUUCGGAAUUACUGGGCGUAAAGGGCGCGUAGGCGGCACGGCAAGUCAGGAGUGAAAGGCCUGGGCUCAACCUGGGAAUUGCUUUUGAUACUGUCGAUCUGGAGUAUGGAAGAGGUGAGUGGAAUUCCGAGUGUAGAGGUGAAAUUCGUAGAUAUUCGGAGGAACACCAGUGGCGAAGGCGGCUCACUGGUCCAUUACUGACGCUGAGGUGACGAAAGCGUGGGGAGCAAACAGG